GGACUACUAGGGUUUCUAAUCCUGUUUGCUACCCACGCUUUCGUGUCUCAGCGUCAGUCGUGGUCCAGAAAGCCGUCUACACCGCAGGUGUUCCUCCUGAUAUCUACGCAUUUCACCGCUACACCAGGAAUUCCGCUUUCCUCUCCCACACUCCAGCCCUCCAGUCUUCGGCGCACCCUCCCGGUUAAGCCGGGAGAUUUCACACCAAACUUAGAGAACCGCCUACACACUCUUUACGCCCAGUAACUCCGAACAACGCUUGCUGCCUACGUAUUACCGCGGCUGCUGGCAC
rnacentral:rRNA from 1 species